UACGAAGGGUGCAAGCGUUACUCGGAAUUACUGGGCGUAAAGCGUGCGUAGGUGGUUCGUUAAGUCUGAUGUGAAAGCCCUGGGCUCAACCUGGGAAUGGCAUUGGAAACUGGCGACCUAGAGUGCGGUAGAGGGUAGUGGAAUUCCCGGUGUAGCAGUGAAAUGCGUAGAGAUCGGGAGGAACAUCCGUGGCGAAGGCAGCCCCCUGGGCCAACACUGACGCUCAGGCACGAAAGCGUGGGGAGCAAACAGG
rnacentral:rRNA from 1 species